rfam:Microgenomates (Gottesmanbacteria) bacterium GW2011_GWB1_49_7 TY48_C0015, whole genome shotgun sequence.
GCCGCGGUGCUGAAACUGGUAUACAGGCAAGUCUCAAAAACUUGUGAGCUUCACCGCUCAUGUCGGUUCGAUUCCGACCCGCGGCA